GAUGAAGAACGUAGCGAAAUGCGAUAAGUAAUGUGAAUUGCAGAAUUCAGUGAAUCAUCGAAUCUUUGAACGCACAUUGCGCCCGCCAGUAUUCUGGCGGGCAUGCCUGUUCGAGCGUCAUUUCAACCCUCAGGCCCCGCCUGGCGUUGGGGAUCGGCGCGGCCCUCUCCGGGCUGCCGGCCCCGAAAACUAGUGGCGGUCUCGCUGUAGUCCUCCUCUGCGCAGUAGCAACGCUCGCACUGGAACUCGGCGCGGCCACGCCGUAAAACACCCCACUUCUGAAAGUUGACCUCGGAUCAGGUAGGAAUACCCGCUGAACUUAAGCAUAUCGAUAAGCGGAGGA
rnacentral:misc_RNA from 1 species